GACGCGCGAAAUUCGAGGGGGUUGGGGUUUACCUUAGUUGGUCGAUUCCGCCCCUGGUUUAGGGGUCGCGGACGCGUGGCUUCCUUUUAAUUUCAAACGCGCGUCACUUUUCUUUCUUUGCCGCCUUGCCGCCUGAGCGCCAGCUCAGGUGCGGCCGGUCUAGCAGACGAUAGGGUCAGCUGACCGGCCGGGCCAAUGGGUGCGAGCGAGAGCGAGUGAGGCGAGCGGGGGACAGCGGCCGGACGCUGGAGCCCGGUCACUCAGCGAGCUGCAGCGGCGAGAGAGGGUCUGCCUCGGCGGCCCGACCCAAGCACCUGCUAUGGUUUUAUUUUACUUCCGUGCGCUACCCGCACAUAGUGCUUGGUGAGUGGGAAUCGCUUUUCUGGGGUAACUAAAUAGUGAGACAUCCGUGUGCUAAUGUAGUCGUUUCCUUGCAGGGUUUAAGUUUCCCGUCUUUUGGACGGUGUAUGUCCGCCGUGAUGGCGUGUUUCGCUGGGUCAAGAUGUAGAACUAGAUUCUCAUUCUCACCGGCGGUCCGCCUCGUGAAGUCACCAGCAGACUGACUUUGUCAAUCUUUGCCGCCCGCCCCGCCGGGGCCGGGUCGGCUGUUUUUGUUGUCAAGCUCUCUUCUCCAUCGCCGCUUCGCUAAACACGUGAAGACCGCCCAAUAGUUGCAUCUGUGCUAAACAUCAGCUAAACAACCGUUAGCUAUCACCCAAUACAUGCUGAGUUAGUGUCACAGCAUGAUCACAGGAAUGCUUCUGGUAUUCAGAUUCGCUCCAAGUCACCAGCAGAAACAAGCCGGCUACUUGAGGAAGACUUUACUCUUAUAAUGUAAAUGAUUUAAAAC